CCGAAGCCGCGGCUCCCGUCCGUGCCGGCGGCGGGCGGGGCGGGGCGGCGACACGGCGCGACGGCGACGCGCAGGGCCGCCCCCCCGGCCGGGUGGCAGAACCUCUACGCCCCGAAUGAGUUAAUCACCCAGUUCUCUUAAGCUCCUGAGCAAGGCAGGUGACUGAUUGGUUGCCUUGAUGCUUGAAUAACUGAGCAGUAUUCGAGGGAUCGGGCCUCCAUUGCUUUUUGACCUACACUACAAGAGAAUGUGCUGAGAAAGCCAGGGAGGAGCUUGCUGACAGUGUUAGUCAUCAAAUGUUUGGUUGCAACCAUAGGGUGAUGUGGGGUUGACGUCCAGGGUCUCGACCACAAUACAGCAGGGCUGUGAGCAGAGUGAAUAGUGAAGGAUCCUGCUCACACAUUUGCUGUAUUCAUCCCCACCUCGUGUGCCCCUGUUUUCUGGGUUAACCACCCCCUUUUCUUGUAACACUGUCAAUCCUGUAUAGAUACACUCCUUUACCUUCUGGUCUACGUGUAGAUUUGUUGUCUCACUAGAGGUUCAUAAUCCAAAGAAUUUUUGUUCUUUCUGCUGUGAUAGUAUAUUGUUGUGUUUCUUUAA